rnacentral:rRNA from 1 species
GGUAACGCGGGGGACGGAGGGGAGGGAGUAACGGGGGGGAAAGCGUGUAGCGGAAGGACGUGGCGUAAAGGGCAAGCAGGGGGUUGGAUAAGUGAGAUGUGAAAGACCCGGGCUCAAACUGGGAAUUGCAUUUAAAACUGUCCAGCUAGAGUCUUGUAGAGGGGGGUAGAAUUCCAGGUGUAGCGGGGAAAUGCGUAGAGAUCUGGAGGAAUACCGGUGGCGAAGGCGGCCCCCUGGACAAAGACUGACGCUCAGGUGCGAAAGCGUGGGGAGCAAACAGGAUUAGAUACCCCUGUAGUC